rnacentral:rRNA from 1 species
AGCGAACGCUGGCGGCAGGCCUAACACAUGCAAGUCGAACGAACCUUUCGGGGUUAGUGGCGGACGGGUGAGUAACACGUGGGAACGUGCCUUUAGGUUCGGAAUAACUCAGGGAAACUUGUGCUAAUACCGAAUGUGCCCUUCGGGGGAAAGAUUAAUCGCCUUUAGAGCGGCCCGCGUCUGAUUAGCUAGUUGGUUGAGGUAAUGGCUCACCAAGGCGACGAUCAGUAGCUGGUCUGAGAGGAUGAUCAGCCACAUUGGGACUGAGACACGGCCCAAACUCCUUCGGGAGGCAGCAGUGGGGAAUCUUGCGCAAUGGGCGAAAGCCUGACGCAGCCAUGCCGCGUGAAUGAUGAAGGUCUUAGGAUUGUAAAAUUCUUUCACCGGGGACGAUAAUGACGGUACCCGGAGAAGAAGCCCCGGCUAACUUCGUG